UACGGAGGGUGCAAGCGUUAUCCGGAAUCAUUGGGUUUAAAGGGUCCGCAGGCGGAAAGAUAAGUCAGUGGUGAAAUCUCCCAGCUCAACUGGGAAACUGCCAUUGAUACUGUUUUUCUUGAAUUUGGUCGGAGUGGGCGGAAUGUGUCAUGUAGCGGUGAAAUGCAUAGAUAUGACACAGAACACCGAUAGCGAAGGCAGCUCACUAGACCUGAAUUGACGCUCAUGGACGAAAGCGUGGGGAGCGAACAGG
rnacentral:rRNA from 1 species